rnacentral:ncRNA from 1 species
AUAUUUAGGGGAGCUAUUGCUGAGAUUGAAUUUUUAAAUUCUAAACCCGUUGAACCUGUUUGGAUAAUGCCGACGUAGGGAGAUUAAAUA